UGGGGCGACCAUACCACGUUGAAAGCACCGGUUCCCGUCCGAUCACCGCAGUUAAACAACGUUGGGCCCGGUCAGUACUUGCAUGGGUGACCGGCUGGGAAUACCGGGUGUCGCUAGCU
rnacentral:rRNA from 1 species